GUCAGUUAAAAAAAAUCCUUGGCUUUGGCAGUAGCCAUGGAUGAGAUUCCCCACCUACAGCCAGUGGGGCGUCAGCUCAUUGCCCCAUCUCUCAUGUUAGGUGUUGAGAACUGGGUCUCAAAAAGA